rnacentral:rRNA from 1 species
GACGAACGCUGGCGGCGUGCCUAAUACAUGCAAGUUGAGCGCUGAAGGUUGGUACUUGUACCAACUGGAUGAGCAGCGAACGGGUGAGUAACGCGUGGGGAAUCUGCCUUUGAGCGGGGGACAACAUUUGGAAACGAAUGCUAAUACCGCAUAAAAACUUUAAACACAAGUUUUAAGUUUGAAAGGUGCAAUUGCAUCACUCAAAGAUGAUCCCGCGUUGUAUUAGCUAGUUGGUGAGGUAAAGGCUCACCAAGGCGAUGAUACAUAGCCGACCUGAGAGGGUGAUCGGCCACAUUGGGACUGAGACACGGCCCAAACUCCUACGGGAGGCAGCAGUAGGGGAUCUUCGGCAAUGGGCGAAAGUCUGACCGAGCAACGCCGCGUGAGUGAAGAAGGUUUUCGGAUCGUAAAACUCUGUUGGUAGAGAAGAACGUUGGUGAGAGUGGAAAGCUCAUCAAGUGACGGUAACUACCCAGAAAGGGACGGCUAACUACGUG